UACAGUUAGUGAUGACUUUUUAAGUUAAACAGAUGGGAACCUCUCUGAAAAAGAAUGAAGAUUUUUUUAAAUUGAAACAGUG